CGUCUCGGAGUGGUCGCCCUGCGGUGCCCGCUCUCCGCCCGGGGCCGGGGCGCUGGGAGGGGCUCCGGUGGCCGGGUGGCCCGUAAACGUGCUCGCCCUCAGGGAUGCGCGUGCCCCGGAGUCUUUCCGAGCGGUGCCCGCGUUGCUGCUGACGAAGGUGACGCUGUGGGUGAGCCCGGGGCCACUGGAAUAAAGGGACAGCUGUGCGGACUCAGGCUCCACCAGGGUGAAAGUUCAAGGCGCUCACAAGGUCAUCCUUGGGCCAGUUCCAUGUGGGUGAAUUAAAUCGCCUUCGCGUGAGCUUUGGAACCCAAGCUCGAGUUUCUUGGCUAGUGCCAGCCGACGAGAGUGGCUUCUAGCCGGGGUGGGGGCGCAGGCUAGGAGCACUCCUGGAGGCUGAGGCAGGAGGAUUGCAAGUUCCAGCCCAGCAUGGGUAACUUGGCAACUUCGUGAGACCGUGUCUCAAAGGGUUGGAGAUGUGUGAAGGCCCUGGGUUCAAUCCCCGGGACCUCAAAACGAAGAGUGGCUUCUAACAGAAAACUGAGUUGCUGCUGCGCAAGCGCAAGCGCAAGGACCCGAGUUCGAUCCCCGGUACCCCCCCCCCAAAAAAAAAGAAAGAAAAAAGAAAAGAAAACUGAGUUGGUUAUGAGCAGGAUAUGGCUGAAGAAAUUCCUCCGGUCUGUCUGGCGAAAAGUGGUAAGAUCGGUGGUGCUGAAGGGCUGGGCUCUGAAGCUGCCAAAUGCUGACCCCGGGGUGCAUGAGAAAGACACCACUCUGAUUGUUGAAGAGAUGAAGUUGCAGUACUUCUGCACACUGUAAAUGUUACUGCCCUCACUGUUCGAUCCGUGUUGAAAGCAUCUGCAAGAGGAUUCAGAGGUAGAAGGGGAAAAAGCCAGUCAUCAUUUUGUGGAAAGGUGCUCUGACGCCGCAGCUAUGCUCAGUGCGUGUCUCCACUCCUCUCCGACUUUGAGGCCCAACAGAGUGGUGAAGGCAACUAGGUGACAACAAGGGAAAGUUGUUUAAACCUCCCCAUCGUCUCCACUUGCCACCUUGUUUUUCAUCCCAGAACUAUAAAACAAUUUUCAGAAAUCUUCCACAAGGAACAGCUGCACUCUUUUAAUCAUCUCGACAAUGUGUUGGUUUUCCCUGAACCUUCCUAACCUCCCUUUCUGGUCUCAUGUCCUGGCUCCCCCCCCGGAGCCCACCCUGGCCCUCUCCUGGCUUCCUUCUGACUGUCUGGUCUCCUGUGCAGUGGUGGACAGAGGAUGUACCCGUGAUUGUGAGCUUGACAUCUGCAGCCAUGUGCUCACCUUGGCACUGCAGGCCCACACCCCACCUGCCUGUUGCCCUUUCUGAGGCUGUCCAAUGACUGGGUUAGUGAAUGAAUGAGUAAAUCUCCCUGGCUUGGGAAGGAAACCACUAAAAUACUGGUUCCUUAAAACUCCCCAUAUCAUAAAUGUUUUCACUCAGCCCUUCUUAACUCUGGCAGAAAGUGGUGUUUUACAAAUAAUUUUGGUCACUAUCUUGGUCAUUAAUUAAGUGAUAUUUGGGGCUGGGGAUUUAGCUCAGUGGUGAAACCACUGAGCUAAAUCCCCGGCCCCCUGCUCUCUUUUUAUGUGAGCCUCUCUCAAAACCUACCCGCAGGGAAGAUACACAGAAUAACCAUUUCCUGCAGAACUCAGCUUGGCUCAGGCCCUCCAGAGAAAAACCUCCAGGUUUCCUGAAGGCCCUGGAGAGCUGGGUCUUGGUGGUGUCCCUUGUGCUGUGGGUCUGAGCUGAGUGGCACUAAAGGAACCUACAGGGUCACCAGCAGAGCAGAGGACUCGUCUCACCUGGGGUUGCUACACGUCCACAGGAGUGCGAACUUCCUCAGUAAACGGGACCCUUCGGUGGCCUCUGUCCUCCAUGUGGGACCAAGUCUAGGAAAAACAAGUGUAUGCAGAGAUGUACCUGAUUAAAAACUGAUGUGGUUUAGAAUUUUGGCAACUCCACCACAGCCGUGUUCCCUGAGCCACGCAGCUGGACCACUGCCUGUCAAAAAGAUGUUACAAGGAAGGUUAUAGAGUUGUCAGCCUUUUCAUACUCAAUAGCUACAAAUCUGACCUGGAAGACAAUUCCCCAAAACUGCAGCAUCCGUGCUAUAACAGUAAUUCACACUGGUAUGUGUUUUAUGCCUGUAUAAGAGAAAUGGCUAAACUGGGGUGGAACUUCAGGCCUGAACUGACCCACUUCUCACAGUGGCUGCUUGGAUUCCUUGUGAACAUGCCCUUCAGUGCUCACUCAGCUGUGCCUUGGAAACUUCCAAGUAACUAGGCACUGAAAUCACUGGUUUUUGUUUGUUUUGUUUUUGGUACAGGGGAUUGAACUCAGGACCUUGUGCUUGCAAGGCAGGCCGAAGAACCACUGAGCUAAAUCCCCAGCUGAAAUCAUUGUUUUUAAGCAGCUGUCCUCACUAAGUAAUCCCUCCUUACACUGCACCUCAUGCAGAGUACUUCCUUCCAGCUUUCUUCUGCACAUGCUGGCUGUCCGUCUUUCAUGUCUCCGCCGUGACUGUGAAAGUCAUGUCCCUACUGGAAUAUAAGUACACUCCCAAAUUUCCUUGUCUUCACAGUCAUCAACCCAGCUUCUUCCAAGCUUUUCCUUGGCCUGGCUUUGCACCUCUAGAUUAUCUUGGCUGUGUCCUUAGCACGCAGUCUGGCUGUUCUAAGCACCUGGAAUGGUGAUGCCCAGAACUAACUAUCCUGACUGAGGCCUGGCCAAGCACCUGAGUGAAGCUGCUGCAGUACCCUUCUCAAAUGCCCUUGUUCCUCCAGCAGAGCCUCGAGUGCACUGUGUCUGACAGAGACCACAGCACUUCCUGUACUUGCCAUACACCACUGUUAAUCUCCACCUUCCUAAGCUUGUUCCCAUUGACUCAUUUGGAUUGUUACCCAGCCCCUAAAACACAGCAGGAACUCAAAUAUUUGAAUAAAUACAUGUGAGGUUUGAUCCUAUUCUUCAUUGUUUCCUUCAUCUUGGAGAUUUUAUUGGUUAUUACUUGAUGAUGGCCAUGUAGAAACUAUAAAUACUUUGUACAGAACAUCUGAGAAGCUAUGCCAUUGUAAAUCUUUCUAGAGAGUCAGUCUGAUGAUUUCAGUUUAAAAGUUGGAAGCAAG
ensembl:lncRNA